GCAAACUUGGUCAUUUAGAGGAAGUAAAAGUCGUAACAAGGUUUCCGUAGGUGAACCUGCGGAAGGAUCAUUAGUAAAUGGAUGGAGUGGAAACGCUCUAUAAUCUGACUUUGUGGUAUAAAUGAAAGCUUUGUUGGGUUUAAAGAUGAUGUGUUUGUAAUGGAUGCAUCGACCCAAAACUUUUAUCAACUCUUUAUUAUUUGACUGAUCAUAUCAAGUUAAUCGAAAGAUUAAAAAAAAGUUUAAAUAACUUUCAACAACGGAUCUCUUGGUUCUCGCAUCGAUGAAGAACGCAGC
rnacentral:misc_RNA from 1 species